GUACACGCUGUGACUAGCAUAUCAAUAAGCGGAGGAAAAGAAACUAACAAGGAUUCCCCUAGUAACGGCGAGUGAAGCGGGAAGAGCUCAAAUUUGAAAUCUUAAAGGGUUUCCCUUUACGAAUUGUAGUUUAAAGAAGUGUUUUCUGUUGAGGUUUUGGUAAAAGUUCUUUGGAAUAGGACAUCAUAGAGGGUGAGAAUCCCGUAUUUGACCUUUACUUUCAACUUUGUGAUACACUUUCAAAGAGUCGGAUUGUUCGGGAAUGCAGUCCAAAAUGGGUGGUAAAUUUCUUCUAAGGCUAAAUAUUGGCGAGAGACCGAUAGCGAACAAGUACCGUGAGGGAAAGAUGAAAAGAACUUUGAAAAGAGAGUUAAGCAGUACGUGAAAUUGUCAAAAGGGAAGCGUUUGAUACCAGUGUUGUUUUUCUGAGAAUCAAUUAAAGAACUGUUUAUGCUAAGCUGUUUAGACUUUAUCAGCUAUACUGUUUAGUUUUGAGCUUUUCUUUAAUGCACUUUUCAGUUAACAAGUCAACAUCAGUUUCUUUUGCUGUAAAAAAGCUUGAGGAAGGUGGCUUGAGAUUCGUCUUAAGUGUUUAUAGCCUCUUGCCUAUGCAGUCGGAGAGAUUGAGGUCUGCAGCGUAGAUCCUUCGGGGCUAAAUGCAUUUGUGCUAAGUUAUAGCUUUUUAUAGACAACUUGUUGACUAUAAUUAGUCUUGUAGCUUACUCGCUUAUGCUAUUUUACCUACGCUUAGGAUGUUGACGCAUGAGAUAUACG
rnacentral:rRNA from 1 species